UGGGCUUUAGUUUGGGCUUCAAUAGUUUUGCAUUUUUUUCUCUGAUUGCAGGUGAGUUAAACUAUUAUAUAAUGCCUAAAUACUUUUAUAAUUGCAAUUUUAAUUAAUGUGUGUCUUUUCAGUCAUCUUGCUUUUUAAAAACAACUAAUUGUUGAAAGGUUAUAUUUUUCAGUCAUGUAACUAUUUAAAAACACUUAACAUCGAAAGAUUGUGUAUUUUGGACAAUGUGACUAUUGAAACAAGAAAUUUCAUGUUUACUGCUUUCAUGAUACCAUUAUUCAUCUUUACCACCACUAAAGAGAUAUUUUCAAAAAUAUUAUUUUUAUUAAGCGGUGAAAGACUCUUAUAUCAUUGAUCUCUCUCUAUAUAUAAUAAAUAAAAAAUAAAAAAUUGUUUCUUUUUUAUGUUUUCGGAUUAUAUUUUUUUCAAAUUUGAACUUUUUAAUAAUUUUUUUUUAUUUUUUUUAAAUAAAUAUUUUUAUUCUUUUGAAAUUUCUUUUUGAAAAUCAAAAUUAUGUUUGAAACUAUUUUUAAUUUUUUUGUAAAGCUUUUGUUUAUAUAUUUAUUUAAAGUAACAUGAAGCAACCGUCUUUCGUCGUUCACAUAGAUCAAUGUCUCACAGUUUGGUUUACAGAGUCUAUAUGAGUCUGUAUAAUUUGAUGAAAAAAACAUAUACCACCCUUCAACUCUAAAUCCUAAGUGUAGAUUAGUUAAUCCUAAGGGUAUAAAUGUAUUUUACCCUUUAUCAAAAAUAAAGGUAGAAGUGGUUAGUGUAAACCCCUGUUCUAAAAAUCGGCCGCCUAAUCGCUUAGGCGGCCGCCUGGCGCUACGUGUCACUCUUCCGCCACGAUUUAUGCCAAAUUGGUUAAAAAAUCGGAUAUCCGAUUUUCUCCUCCUAGACCGCCAAAAUGAUCGCCUAGCCGCCUAGGCGGACGCCUAAUCUAUUUUUUUAUUUUUAUUUUAUUUUUACUAAUAUUUUUAUUUAUUUAUUUGAUCCAAAGUUUUAUAAAUAUCAUUUAUAUUCAUAAGUUUGAUGAAAAUUACACUAUAUUAAGUUUUAUAUAUUCUAUUUAUGUGUUUUAUACAAUCUUAAACAUGAAAAUGCAUUAAUGUUAUACACAAUUAAAGAUUAACAUGUUUUAUAACAUAGUAAACAAUUUAAAAUUUUUGCCCCGCAUAAUUUUCGAUUAAUCCCUGAUUUUCUCUUCAGACGCUAGGCCCAACCUGACCG
rnacentral:lncRNA from 1 species